GACGAACCGUGCGAACGUUAUUCGGAAUCACCGGGCUUAAAGCGCGCGUAGGCGGGCCGGCACGUCGGAUGCUGAAAGCCCCCGGCUCAACCGGGGAAGGGGCACCGAUACGACCGGCCUGGAGUGGGGUAGGGGGAGCCGGAACUUCCGGUGGAGCGGUGAAAUGCGUUGAGAUCGGAAGGAACGCCCGUGGCGAAAGCGGGCUCCUGGACCCCGACUGACGCUGAGGCGCGAAAGCCAGGGGAGCGAACGGG
rnacentral:rRNA from 1 species